rnacentral:rRNA from 1 species
AACGAACGCUGGCGGCAUGCCUAACACAUGCAAGUCGAACGAGAUCUUCGGAUCUAGUGGCGCACGGGUGCGUAACGCGUGGGAAUCUGCCCCUUGCUUCGGAAUAACAGUGAGAAAUUACUGCUAAUACCGGAUGAUGUCUUCGGACCAAAGAUUUAUCGGCAAGGGAUGAGCCCGCGUAGGAUUAGGUAGUUGGUGGGGUAAUGGCCUACCAAGCCGACGAUCCUUAGCUGGUCUGAGAGGAUGAUCAGCCACACUGGGACUGAGACACGGCCCAGACUCCUACGGGAGGCAGCAGUGGGGAAUAUUGGACAAUGGGCGAAAGCCUGAUCCAGCAAUGCCGCGUGAGUGAUGAAGGCCUUAGGGUUGUAAAGCUCUUUUACCAGGGAUGAUAAUGACAGUACCUGGAGAAUAAGCGCCGGCUAACUCCGUG